rnacentral:rRNA from 1 species
UACGUAGGUGGCAAGCGUUAUCCGGAUUUAUUGGGUUUAAAGGGUGCGUAGGCGGGCUUUUAAGUCAGCGGUAAAAAUUCGGGGCUCAACCCCGUCCGGCCGUUGAAACUGGGGGCCUUGAGUGGGCGAGAAGAAGGCGGAAUGCGUGGUGUAGCGGUGAGAUGCAUAGAUAUCACGCAGAACCCCGAUUGCGAAGGCAGCCUUCCGGCGCCCUACUGACGCUGAGGCACGAAAGUGCGGGGAUCGAACAGG